GAGGCAGGGGGCAGGGCGACCCACCGGACCGCGGGAGUAUUGGCAGAUCCGCGGAGCGGUCGGCGAUCUGUGAGUUCUGCAACUCGCAAAAGGAGAAUGGACCAGCUUGGGAGAUGUGGGAAUCAGCCCUGCCGCUCCCGUGCUGGUCGGAUUUCUAGAUGAAUGACAACACAUUGCAGUCAGCUUGCGUCUUUUGUGGUUGGAUGCUGUCCUGGCGGAAGGCACCAGAGAAAUAGGUAUUUACAUGAAGAAAUUUAUAAACUGUGUAUGCAUAGAAGAAGGAAGCAUCCAAAUAAAUAUAGUGAGAAGCCUGAGACCUUCAAGCAAACAGCAUCAACCCUAGGUCCCUGCAAGAUGAUGGAUACUCAAUAAAAUUGAUGGCUGAAGCUUCAAAUGGAUGCUCAGAGCUGAGGAUGGUGACAUAUGGAGGGGAAAAAUUAAGUACCUGCUGUUCAUGACAUAAACUGCAGGUGGAUUUUUAGGAUUACCUUACUGAAAAUAGCAUCCUGUCAAGGGAAAUCAUCUGUAAAAACCUGCAUUUCUCCACUUUCAAGGUAAGCGCAACCAAUUUCUCCACAGAGGAAUGCUAACAAGAGGAAAAUUGCCAGUAGCACGAAGAUUUAUGAGAUGGGAUUUAUGAGAACCUACUUUGGCCUCUUUUUAUUUUUUUGGUGAUUCUCAUGCAGGCCAACUGGUGCAGGCUAUUUCAGCACACAGAUCAAAGCUAGGGCUUCCCUGAGCAGACCAGCUUCAUCUUUAUCCUUUUUCACAUGGAGGAAAGCAUAUUUCAGUGCAAAAGUCAUCUCCUACAUUUUUUGUCUGCAUACCACAGCCUUAUUAGGCACCGUGCAAAACGCUCAUCGAUUGUCUGCCUCUAACCACAAUACCUAACCACAACACGAUGCUCAGAAUAAGACUAACACACUGGUAACCUUUG